GGGUUUCUUUCUAGAGAUCUCUUCUUUUAGAGUUCUCUGCUAUGAGCCUCAGACACAGGAAACGCAGCUAUUCCGUGUGCAACUUUGUAGUUGGGAGCCCAUUUACAGUAAUGGUUUCAGCUCGUCCUAAUGAUCAGUGGAAACAGCUGAGGAAGCUUCAGAAGUGUACUGCUCAUGUGCUGCUGACACAGCAUAGGUGGAUUUGUGAGAAGGGAAGUGGAGAAGGGAGGACAAUCCCUGUGUGAGAACCACCUUCAGAACAAAAGCUGAAACUUCAAAGCA